AGCUCACACAACUGUGCCAUUCGCCCACUGGGGUUCACCUCUUCCAUUGGGACCAGAUUCCAGCAGAAACUACCACACUGACACAGAGAUGAAUGAAAAACACCCAGGAUAUGCAGAGUUGAAACACAUCCCUUUCAAGAAGCAGAUGCAGAAAAGACAAAAGAGCAGCUAAUUUACGCAGAAGCGAAAAUAUGCGCUACAAAGUCCAAUCGGACAAAGAUAACAAGAACUGAAUCACCUGAAGGAAAAGGUAAACUUUAUGUAGAGGACCUAGCUUACCUGUCCUCCAAUUGCUCAGCUUACCACGGCCUCAAAUAACUAAGUUAGCCUGCCCAGUUUCAUGAGGUUGCUUAAACUAUAUCUUAUAAUCUAAACAAAAAAAAUGGUAUUGAAAGUGAAAUGUCCAUAUUUAGUAUAUUCCAGAUAAUUAAUGUAGUUUGGGUGCUAUAUACAUAAAUUCAUAACUGAGCAAAUCAAGCAGGAAAAUUACUGCUUUUCAAUUUGGAAACAAUUGUGAAUCUCCUGAUGUCUAUAUCCACUCAUUUUAUGAAGUUUCAAGAAACAAUAUUUGAUUAACAUUAUUUGAUACAUGUUUGGAAUUAUAAUUUCUUCUACUGUUGAAGAACUGUAGUGAGGCUCCAAUGAGAAAAUGAUGGAUAUAUAUGCAAGCAUAUGAUAUUUACAGGAUAAUAAAUAUCUUCUGAUUAUGGGUCAAUAAAAUUGACUAUACAGAUAUGUUUUACUUAUUUAUUUAUUUAUUCAUGGCUGUGUUGGGUCUUAGUUUCUGUGCGAGGGCUUUCCCUAGUUGCGGUGA